rnacentral:lncRNA from 1 species
AUUUGAACUCAGAAAAUCUGAUUAUGAAUAGGUCCUUAAAAAAUAUGUUUUCUGCUUUUUAUGGAAGGCACAGAACAUCUUUUUAGGGGUCUAUAGGCAUUGGUUGUGGGGAGGGGACAUUUCUAUGUCACUCCUAAGGAAUGCCGGGUCCUGGAAGCUGUGUCCAUCAUUUCAGGGGAUGUUUUGUCCACACAAAGUAUCAGGGCAGAGAUAAGACUUCUGUGUAGAGGCGGAUGGGCAGCAGCCAAUGGACACUUCAGGUUGACUUCUGCUGCCCACAUAUAAGGUUGACAGAGGUGGCCAUUUGGAGGAGUACAAAUGAAAUAUAGGACUGUUAAGGCAGAGGAUACACCUUCUCAGGGGAGCAUCUGGACCAGAUGGGUACACUAGUUUUCCCUGGGAGUGUCAACAGCACUGUGCCAUCUGGUAAUCACCCUCUAAGACCAGAGAUGCAGCUCAAAUUCAGCUCCAGUUCUUUGUCACUAGUAGUAUACAAGAUAUAUAUCCCAUAUAUGUACAACCCAUAUAUGUAUAUUUGAAUGUUAUGCCCCAUUCAAAUUCUCCCAAGGCUGAGGAGGUUGGGUGUCCCACAUCAUCUUCCCUUAUAGUUUUAGAAUCCAGGGUGGGGAGGAAUCCAUUGUGAGACAAAUGUGAAUAUUCACACCCUGUUGAGCUUUAAUUUUCUUUUCUUUUCCAAAAGACAAGGGCACAUAAAAACUCUGGCUUUCUUUGGGUGUUUUAAGGCAACUUUUCCUGCUAGAAUCUUGAGCUGUGCUCCUUGAAUAAUGCUUUCAGGGACACACAGUUCUUUCCUGCCAGCCCUUUCAGAAGCACACAGAAUGGAGCAUUUCUUUAAUUUCACUGCAGAAUGUAAUUAUUGUUCAGACCCAUUGCAGAUACAUCUGGCACUCAUUUUCUCUUCUCAUCCUCCCUCAUUAAAGCAUGUUACAAAAUAAAAGCAUUGGCAAGAGUGGGAAGAAAAACAUCCUGGAGCCCAGAGUAAGCCUCUCUUCAUUACAAAUGUGUCAGCAGUCCUAGGAGAGCCCAAGAGGCAUUGGCUGGGAUACUGGGACUGGGGAAUCAGGCUGCAAAGGGACCUAAAGCUUUCCCCAUUGAGGGUGGUGAAUGUUGAGUCAACUCAUCUGGCUCAGCUGGUCUUGACUUCCAGUGAAACCAACCAGCACAUUUGGACCUGAAAGAACACCAGGUCAUGUAUCCCAUAAGGUUGAACCAAUAGUGGACCUAAACAGCAUGAAAUAGCUAAAUACUCCAAGGGCACCUCAGUCCCUUUCUCUGUAGCCAAAACCCACAACAAAAUGUAGAGAGCUAAGAUCAAAACAGAAUAUAGAGAGCUAAAAUCAACAACAAUACCAAGUGUUGGCAAUGAUAAAGAGCAAAUGGUACAUUAAUCCUGGGAAUGAAAAAUGGAAUAACCAUUUAAGAAAACAGCUUGGCAAUAUUUAAUAAUGUUAAAACACACACACACACACACUCCCUCUGUCUGUCUAUCUAUCUAUCUAUAUCAGACAACCACACACAAAUAGUUCCAUUCUUAGGUGUUUCCUCAAGAGCAAUGAAAACACAUAUCUACACAUAGAAUUAUACAUAAAAGUUUACAGCAGCUUUAAUCAAAAUAGCUCCAAACUAUGAGCAACCCAAGUACCCAUCAGCAGAAGACUUACAUAAAUAAGUGUGGUAUAUAUAUUCAGUGGAAUAUUCUUCAACAUUAAAAAGGAAUGGACUAAUAAACACUGGUGAAUAAAUUUUUUUAAAGAGAGAGAGAGUGAGAGAGGGAGAUAUUUUUUAAUAUUUAUUUUUUAGUUUUCAGUGGACACAACAUCUUUAUUUUAUUUUUACGUGGUGCUGAGGAUCGAACCCAACGCACCGUGCAUGCCAGGCGAGUGCGCUACUGCUUGAGCCACAUCCCCAGCCCAAUUUUUAUUUAAAUAUUUUAUUUGGUUUUUAUUUUAGUUAUAUGUGACAGUAAAAUGUAUUUUGACAUACCAUACAUACAUAGAGUACGACUUCCCAUUUUUGUUGUUGUACAUGAUAUGGAGCUACCCUGGUUGUGUAUUCAUAUAUGAACAUUGGAACGUUACGUCCAGUUCAUUCUACUGUCUUUCCCAUUCCCAUCCCUGCUCCCUUCCCCCAACUCCCUCCUGUCCAAUAUGGUCAUGGUAUAUGGAUUUUGGAAUAUUAUGUUAAAUAAAAAAUACAAACACAAAAGACUAUGUGA